CAGGUUGUCAGACGUCAGGAGAAAGGCAACACGACAGAUUCCACCAUAACAAUAAUGACUACUUUGAUUGUAUUUGUCGCCAUCUUGGCUUGUGCCUGGGCAGCACCAUGUGUACACAAUAACCAUGCUGAUUUAGAAGAAGAACAUGUUAUUAAUAUGGUCAUUGAGGCUGCUGAUUUUAAUGAUGAUGGUGUUCUCAGUGAAUUAGAUCUUGCUCAUUUCCUUGGUCGCUAUGAUGCUAACAAUAAUAAUAAGGUAGAAAAGGUAGAAUUUGCCAAUGGAUGGGUUGCGAAUUACCAUGAUGAGAGAGCUUUUGCAGAACACGUGUUUGAUUUCCUAAAUACUUAUGAUGAUGAUGGUGCUCUAGAUAUUGCUGACGUUCCUGCGCUAAUAGUGAGAGCAGAUACAUCAGGUGAUAGUAUAGUUCAAGUAUCAGAAAUGAGAACAUAUUUGGAAGCUAUUUACAACGCUUGUUAAUAAGAUUACACGAAAUAGCCAAUAAACCACAAAUAAACAGUAUAAAAAACACAAAUUGUUUGGAUUUUCAUUAAGUUGUUUUGACAAGAUGUUGUUCAAGCAUCAAUUUAUUCA